CGCCAGAUGUCCUUUGGAGUGCACAAACCUGUUUUGCAGGCUGCCAGGAAUUGUGUAAACUCAAAUGCUAAAUUUUUAGCAGGGCUUGUAGUUUGUGUUUCCACUUAGGAACAGCUGGCACUCAAAACAAAACUGAAGUGGAAUCAUGGUAAAUUACUUCACAAAAUACCUACUGGAAUGUAAAUGGUUAUGUUCUCUUGAGGUUUUAAAGCAUUAUAAAAGCUUCUCUUGUUUAAAUCUCUUCUUCAUCAAAAUGUUUAUAAUAAAUAUACUAUCUCUUAAUUUAAUAAAAAUUAAAAAGCUUUUCCUAUUAAGAACCACCCAUAUAAAUCCAUCAUCACAUCAUGACUGACUUUAAUUAUCAAAGCACUACUUAGGAAAGAAGUGAUUGAACCACCUCAGGGUUAACCUGUGGGGACUGGGUUGCAGAGAAACUGUCUCCUGUCAGUUCUACCUGACCUUGUGCAGUUCUGCCUGUCCUCCCGCUGCCUUCUAGCUCUUGUUAGACCCUUUGCUGAGUCAGUCUAUCGCAUUAAAUAUAGCUACAGAACAAUUCACUUUCUUUUUCCUCCUGGGUUACUGAGAUGAAUCAACCCUUAAGAGGUGUUUGACAAAUGUCAGAGCUUGUAUAAAGUAAGAAUGAGGAACAAGACUUCAUUUAGAGAGAGAGCAACAUAUUCGUAUAUUAAGCUAUCUCAAGGUAGCUUCACAACUAGUUUGCAGCCUGUGAAAAGUCAGUCCUGUAGCAGUGAAAUGGAGGUGCUCCUUCACAUGACAUUAGGAUAUAGCAUUUUGUACUUCAAUACUAACUUUCUUCCAAGGUUCUCACAAGCACUUUACACCCUAACAGAUAACACCUAUGAAAUAUCAAUGGUUUAGUUAGGUGACCUGAUGCAGAAGAAGAAAGAUGUAUUUCACUGAGAGGUUUCAAAAUGUUAACAUGUUCAAAAAUUAACAGCUCACCACCAACAAACAGGUAAGCUUAUUAAACUCCAUAAAAUAGCGGCAGUCUGAGGGGGAAAGAGAAUGGUUUUAGGGUGCUGAGUUACAUAGACUCAGAAUGUUUUGGGUUGGAAGGAACCUUAAAACUCAUCCAGUUCCAACCCCCUGCCACGUGCAGGGACACCUUCCACUAGAGCAGGUUGCUCAAAGCCCUGUCCAACCUGGCCUUGAUUACGAAUGAAUUGACUCAGUUUGCCUUGAGAUCAGAUAAGCUCCUGAACUGCUGCAAAAUGGGAAGUGUUUGGCUGAGAUUGGGAGGAGCAGGGAAGGAAUAAGACUUCCCUUUCUGAUGUGGCAGCAAGCUGAAAUUCAAGUGACGCACUGGGAGCCAUGCCCUGAAAUUUAAAGGUAGCCUGUGGAGAUGCAGCUGAGCACUAGAGAAUAAAAAACACAGUUUCAGCAUGAUGCCUUUUUCAGGAGCCAAGUCUAUCCUAAGGUUUGCUGGUGUUACUGGAAGUAUAAGUUUAUUAUAAAGAGGCUUUUAUAUUUGCACAAGACCAGGUAUAAUCCAAACUAAGAUAUCUUGACCUGGAAAAGUCUUUUUGCUGGUUUGUUUGUUCCAACGCUGCUAUUUACAAAUGGUGUUUCUGACCUGUUACUCUCCCUCUGCUGGACAUUCACAUUAUUGCUGUAUUUGUGGUUUACAUUAAUGUAUUUUAAGAUAUUUGAUUGAAAGAGAUUCAAAUAAAUGUCGUCUUUGGUUAUGUA